rnacentral:rRNA from 1 species
AGCUCAAAUUUGAAAUCUGGCUCUCGGGCCCGAGUUGUAAUUUGUAGAGGAUGCUUUUGGUGAGGUGCCUUCCGAGUUCCCUGGAACGGGACGCCAUAGAGGGUGAGAGCCCCGUCUGGUUGGACACCGAGCCUCUGUAAAGCUCCUUCGACGAGUCGAGUAGUUUGGGAAUGCUGCUCUAAAUGGGAGGUAUAUGUCUUCUAAAGCUAAAUACUGGCCAGAGACCGAUAGCGCACAAGUAGAGUGAUCGAAAGAUGAAAAGCACUUUGAAAAGAGAGUUAAAAAGCACGUGAAAUUGUUGAAAGGGAAGCGCUUAUGACCAGACUUGGGCUUGGUUGAUCAUCCGGCGUUCUCGCCGGUGCACUCUUCCAGUUCAGGCCAGCAUCAGUUUGCUUCGGGGGAUAAAAGUUUCGGGAAUGUGGCUCCUCCGGGAGUGUUAUAGCCCGUUGCAUAAUACCCUGAUCCAGACUGAGGUUCGCGCAUUUAUGCAAGGAUGCUGGCGUAAUGGUCAUCAGCGACCCGUCUUGAAACACGGACCAAGGAGUCGUCUUCGUAUGCGAGUGUUCGGGUGUCAAACCCCUACGCGUAAUGAAAGUGAACGCAGGUGAGAGCUUCGGCGCAUCAUCGACCGAUCCUGAUGUUCUCGGAUGGAUUUGAGUAAGAGCAUACGGGGCCGGACCCGAAAGAAGGUGAACUAUGCCUGUAUAGGGUGAAGCCAGAGGAAACUCUGGUGGAGGCUCGCAGCGGUUCUGACGUGCAAAUCGAUCGU